UGCCGCGGACAUCAACGCAAAGUGCCCGUCGGAGCUGAAGGUGGACGGAGGCUGUGUGAGUGCGUGCAUCAAGUUCGGCACCCCCCAGUACUGCUGCACGCCGCCGCUUAUGCCGUCGACCUGUGGGCCGACGGACUACUCGCGCUUCUUCAAGGGGCACUGUCCAGACGCCUACAGCUACGCCUACGAGAAGAACAGCACCUUCACCUGCACCGUCCGAUCAGACUACCAAGUCACCUUCUGCCCAUAGAGGCGAUUGGGAUUCAAUUUACUCCGAUGGUUAAGUCUAUAAUGUAAUAGCGUUUCCCAAUGUAAUAAUGGAAAUAAUGAUGACUGAUGAUUCCAUAAAAAAAUUCUAUUGAAAAACUUUAUUGAGAAAAUAUGUUUGACAAUAUUUUUUUUUUCUUUUGUGAGGAUAGAAUAGUCAACUUCUUUGUUUCGAGGACGAACAUACUUCUCUCUUUGUUCCAUGUUAAAUCAGCAACAAUUAAUAUAAAUCAGAGGGAGUAUAUGAAACAAGGCAUUGGCUAUAGGCCUAGGGCCUGCCCAAGUUUUGUUGCCUUUUCCGAAGAUAGUAGCUAACCGUGAAUCUCGUAUUUCCUAUAUGACGCUCGUUGCCUCGAUUUGUCUACGAGACAUCUUAUGUGACGCUCGCCGUGUCUAACAGGUGUCUAACAGGUGCGAGCCGAAUAGGAGCAGCCGCCGGGCCACUGGCCCAUAAACAAAGUACUGCUGCAGUGCCUAAACACUGGUUAAUAAUCUGAAUGCAGGACCAAGUUCAAUGACCAUAAAUAAAGGAUAUUAAAGCAAAUAUGUCGUCCUUUGAAGAUGUUAGGGGUAAAGCAUGAGAUGAGAGAAUCACAUGAAGAAGCUCACUGCCUAGCAAAAGCUGCUUUAUCGCUAGAUUUGGGUGCCACCUGUGGGUUACAUACCCACCUGAAACCGCUUGUAUCCCAAACGUUGUUUUGAGUUAAUAAAACCCUGGUGAUACCCAACGCAAUGUAGCAACUACUCCCGCUAUAACCUUCUCCAAUACGUUUAUAGAGUCCAUGACAACGUUAAAAAAUGACAUAUGUUAAAUUUGAGAAGAAGUAGUAUUCUAGCAUGAUACUGUAGUGGUCAUUUUUGGGGAAAAAAUAGAGCAAUUUUUUAAAAGACAUAAUCAUUGUUUAAAUUUCUUACCUAUUUCUUAAACUCAAACAUUUUUUCAGAGACACGAAUAAAUUUUGGAAUUUUUUUUAGAAUUUCCCAAAAAAAUUUAAAACGUGAAUGUUCAUUGUAUUUUCCAAAUAGUUUAGAAAUAUAUGAACAAAAUUUGAAUGGUAAACAUUUUUAAAAUUUAUAUUUAAUCAUUCUAUAAUAUUGUGAACACUUCUUAAAAUACAUUAACAUUUUUUAAAAUUUUCUACCUAAGAGAAGAAAAGGAAAACACAAAAGAAAAAGGAAAGGAAGAACAAGCAAAGAAAAAAAUAAAAGGAAAAAUCAGAGAAAACCGUAACAAAAACAAAAUAGAAAAAACGGAUCUUAACUACUUGGGCCGGACCAUCAGCGGUUCGCUCGCUGGCUCGUUUGUGUUGUGCGAAGCAACGGCAUUGGGACGCAGCGAGCGGCAAAUAGGGAUUUUGUUGUCGAUCAAAUGCACAAGGAAGCGAGCGAGCGAACAAAGAUGGGCGGGCCUAAUUAGAUUCAGGCUACAAGUUUCCUGUUUAUUUUUUCGGAUGUUUUGUCUACUGGCUUUUUCUUGUUCGGUUGUUCUUUUACCUUUCGUUUUUUAAGAUCAAAUUUCUGAUGCAAUUAUGUUGUUUUCAUUGGAGUGCCGCGCUUCCCUCCCGCCCUUUCUGAUGCCCUCUCCAGUCAAUCCAAAUCCACUGUNNNNNNNNNNNNNNNNNNNNNNNNNNNNNNNNNNNNNNNNNNNNNNNNNNNNNNNNNNNNNNNNNNNNNNNNNNNNNNNNNNNNNNNNNNNNNNNNNNNNNNNNNNNNNNNNNNNNNNNNNNNNNNNNNNNNNNNNNNNNNNNNNNNNNNNNNNNNNNNNNNNNNNNNNNNNNNNNNNNNNNNNNNNNNNNNNNNNNNNNNNNNNNNNNNNNNNNNNNNNNNNNNNNNNNNNNNNNNNNNNNNNNNNNNNNNNNNNNNNNNNNNNNNNNNNNNNNNNNNNNNNNNNNNNNNNNNNNNNNNNNNNNNNNNNNNNNNNNNNNNNNNNNNNNNNNNNNNNNNNNNNNNNNNNNNNNNNNNNNNNNNNNNNNNNNNNNNNNNNNNNNNNNNNNNNNNNNNNUCCAUCAGUUGAUCAUGGGAGCAUCGCGGAUUUCGCCACCAAAUUACCAUAUCUCGUGGGUGAUCAUGUCCCUAGUGCCAGUCCGGCUCCCGAUUGUGGGUAGCGAACCUGGAGAGACAGGGGUCGAUCUCUAUGAGAGGGCAAAUAGCCGAGUGCCUCGCCGGAGUGGACGUGGCUGUUGGUGUCUAUGUGGUGGAGUGGCGGCGUAUCGGUCCUUUACGUACAUCGAGGACCGAUGUGGGUGAAGCCUUCUCCAUCUUAGAUAUGCAUUUUUCACUUGUAUAUCUUGGAACAACAAGCAUUGUUUGACCAUAUAUUAUAAUAGUUUGAUUAACCCUACUCUGACGGGAGACCGCCCUUCACUGGUGAUGUACUAGCUAAGAGCACCUACAGCCGAACUCCUUAAAUCGACCGGGCAGUUUCAGAAACACUGACAGGAUAGGAGAGGGAAGAAAAGGUUGACCUAACCGGACCCCAUAAAGCCUACUUAAAUGACCGGGUUGUCUGACACUUGGGCGCUCUAAUCCGUCAGGGAGACUGAAGACCCGGUCACUGAUAUGUCAUGAAACAAGAAACUAGGAGAGAGUUAAUGUACCGUGCCCAAAUGUUUUAGGUUUAUUUAAUUUUCAUAAGGUGACAUCUAGACGGAGGGAAUACUAGUGAUUCAGUGAUUCUGGCCUUCUAGCACCUUACAUUGUAAUCAUAUUAAUUGCGUCAUGAUGCAGACGCCGCCGUGGAAAAUGUCUAGGCAGGCUAGCUGGCAUGGAUUUGGACACGCCACCAAACCAGCAUAUAGCAGCCUGUGGACGCGCGGCAAUAAAUACCUCCAUUGCCACACCACCAAACCAACCAUUCAGAAUCGCCGCAUCACGUAAACAACAACGGCAGCAGCCAUGACGUCCUCUCGCAUCCUCCACCUCAUCGCCCUCGUCCUUGCCGUCGUCGCCGCGGCCGAGGCGACCACCAUAACCGUGGUGAACCGGUGCUCCUACACGAUAUGGCCGGGCGCGCUCCCAGGCGGCGGCGCGCGUCUCGACCCGGGCCAGUCGUGGCAGCUCAACAUGCCCGCCGGCACCGCGGGCGCCAGGGUGUGGCCGCGCACGGGUUGCACCUUCGACGGCAGCGGCCGCGGGCGGUGCAUCACCGGCGACUGCGCGGGCGCGCUGUCCUGCCGCGUGUCGGGCGAGCAGCCCGCCACGCUGGCCGAGUACACGCUGGGGCGGGGCGGGAGCCAGGACUUCUUCGACUUGUCCGUCAUCGACGGCUUCAAUACGCCCAUGAGCUUCCAGCCCGUCGGCGGCGCGCCCUGCCGUGCGGCGACCUGCGCCGUGGACAUCACCAGGGAGUGCCUGCCGGAGCUGCAGGUGCCCGGAGGGUGCGCGAGCGCGUGCGGCAAGUUCGGCGGCGACACCUACUGCUGCCGGGGACAGUUCGAGCACAACUGCCCGCCGACGAACUACUCCAAGUUCUUCAAGGGCAAGUGCCCCGACGCCUACAGCUACGCCAAGGACGACCAGACCAGCACCUUCACCUGCCCCGCCGGAACCAACUACCAGAUCGUUCUCUGCCCCGCACGAAAUGAUUUACACAUGGAUCAGUAAUUAGAGGACGUUUCCUUGUAGUCUUCCUGACUUAUUAUGAUCAUCGAUCAUUUCUGUAUGUGCGUGCGUGCGUGGCUGGUGCGUGCCAUUCAGCGAAUAAAUGUAUAAAUGAAAUGGAAGUGUAAUUUCUUUGCGGUAUGGCAAUAAAUGAAAUGGAAGCGAAAAAAAUAAAGAAAUUAGCAUUGAUGAGAUCAAACCACAAGGCCAUUUAUAUGUUUCAAAAUAAAUUAGUGAACGUUAAUGACUUACUUUGCAGUAUGGCACUAGAAAGGUGUCCGCAUGUGGAUGAUUGACAAUAAAGAACGGGGAUAUGUGAACGAGAACAUGUAGUCUGAGAUGACCUCCUGGACUUCUGUGGUUUCCAGGUUGUGGCAGUACAUGUAAAAAGGAUCACGUAAGGACAUUUUACCAUGCGGGAGUAGGGGAUCUGUAGCUCGAUGAAGUACCCAGAGCCUCAUUAACUCUAGGGAGACUGCACUGAUGGAGAACAUAUUUGUAUAGAUUACCUCAUCAAAGGCCAAAUCAAUUCUAUCGGCCGGAGACUCUGGGACAAAACUAUAACCUUCUAUCACCUUGGCCGUGUAUCCAUGUUGACAGUUUUUGAUUUAUCUACCACAUGGGCGUGUAGAAUUUGAAGAUCAAUCGAGAGGGUCUCCAACAUAGAAUCUGAUAGAAACAGUUCCCCAGGCUUAUACAUGUUCAUUUUCCGCCUUCGGGGAUGACAACAUGCAUAGGUGGUUUGUCCGCAGAUUGUAUGCAACUGUCACGUGCAUUCUUCUCCCCUGAAUGUGGAUUAUCUGGCACUACGUCUCCGGUGCCGGCAUAUCCUGUUGGGCAACGUUGCAGAAAAUAAUAAAAAAAAUGUACGGUUUCACCAAGAUCCAUCUAUGAGUUCAUCUAAGCAACGAGUGAUAGGAGAGAGAUGCAUCUACAUACCACUUUGUAGAUCGUGUGUGGAAGCGUUCAAGAGAACGGGGUUGAGGUAGUCGUUCUCAUCGUGAUCCUAUCACCGGAGAUCCUAGCGCUGAACGGACGGCACCUCCGCGUUCAACACACGUACGGUCAGCGUGACGUCUCCUCCGUCUUGAUCCAGCAAGGGGGAAGGAGAGGUUGAUGAAGAUCCAGCAGCACGACGGCGUGGUGGUGGAUGCAGCAGAACUCCGGCAGGGCUUCGCCAAGCUAUUGCGGGAGGAGGAAGAGGUGUAGCAGGGGGGCGGGAGGCGCCAAGACAAGGGUGCGGCUGCCCUCCCUUCCCCCUCCUUUAUAUAGGCCCCCAGGGGGGGCACCGGCCCUGGAAGAUCCAUUCUCCCAAGGGGGGCGGCGGCCAGGGGGGUUGGAGUGCCCCCUAAGGCAUGUGGGGCGCGCCCCCCACCUAGGGUUUCCAACCCUAGGCGCAUGAGGGGCAAGGGGGGCGCACCAGCCCACUAGGGGCUGGUUCCCCUUCCACUUCAGCCCACGGGGCCCUUCGGGAUAGGUGGCCCCACCCGGUGGACCCCCGGGACCCUUCCGGUGGUCCCGGUACAAUACCGGGUGACCCCGAAACUUUCUCGAUGGCCGAAACAGCACUUCCUAUAUAUAAUUCUUUACCUCCGGACCAUUCCGGUACUCCUCGUGACGUCCGGGAUCUCAUCCGGGACUCCGAACAACAUUCGGUUUGCUGCAUACUAAUAUUCAUACAACCCUAGCGUCACUGAACCUUAAGUGUGUAGACCCUACGGGUUCGGGAGACAUGCAGACAUGACCGAGACGGCUCUCCGGUCAAGAACCAACAGCGGGAUCUAGAUACCCAUGUUGGAUCCCACAUCCUCGAUGAUCUCAUCGGAUGAACCACGAUGUCGAGGAUUCAAGCAACCCCGUAUACUAUUCCCUUUGUCGGACGGUAUGUUACUUGCCCGAGAUUCGAUCGUCAGUAUCCCAAUACCUCAUUCAAUCUCGCUGCCGGCAAGUCACUUUACUCGUACCGUAACGCAUGAUCCGGUGACCAGACACUUGGUCACUAUGAGCUCAUUAUGAUGAUGCACUACUGAGUGGGCCUAGUGAUACCUCUCUGUUAUACGGAGUGACAAAUCCGAGUCUCGAUCCGUGUCAACCCAACAGACACUUUCAGAGAUACCUGUAGUGCACCUUUAUAGUCACCCAGUUACGUUGUGACGUUUGGUACACCCAAAGCACUCCUACGGUAUCCGGGAGUUACACGAUCUCAUGGUCUAAGGAAGAGAUACUUGACAUUGGAAAAUCUUUAGCAAAACGAACUACACGAUCUUGUGCUAUGCUUAGGAUUGGGUCUUGUCCAUCACAUCAUUCUCCCAAUGAUGUGAUCCCGUUAUCAACGACAUCCAAUGUCCAUAGUCAGGAAACCAUGACUAUCUGUUGAUCAACGAGCUAGUCAACUAGAGGCUCACUAGGGACAUGUUGUGGUCUAAGUAUUCACACGUGUAUUACGAUUUCCGGAUAAUACAAUUAUAGCAUGAAUAAAAGACAACUAUCAUGAACAAAGAAAUAAAAUAAUAAUCCUUUUAUUAUUGCCUCUAGGGCAUAUUUCCAACAGUCUCCCACUUGCACUAGAGUCAAUAAUCUAGUUACAUUGUGAUGAAUCGAACACCCAUAGACUUCUGGUGUUGAUCAUGUUUUGCUCGCGGAAGAGGUUUAGUCAACGGAUCUGUGACAUUCAGAUCCGUAUGUACUUUGCAAAUAUCUAUGUCUCCAUCUUGAACAUUUUCACGGAUGGAGUUGAAACGACGCUUGAUGUGCCUGGUCUUCUUGUGAAACCUGGGCUCCUUGGCAAGGGCAAUAGCUUCAGUGUUGUCACAGAAGAGAGUGAUCGGCCCCGACGCAUUGGGUAUGACUCAUAGGUCGAUGAUGAACUAUUUCAUCCAUAUUGCUUCAUGCGCUGCCUCCGAGGCUGCCAUGUACUCUGCUUCACAUGUAGAUCCCGCCACGACGCUCUGCUUGCAACUGCACCAGCUUACUGCUCCACGAUUCAACAUAUACACGUAUCCGGUUUGUGACUUAGAGUCAUCCAGAUCUGUGUCGAAGCUAGCGUCGAUGUAACCCUUUACGACGAGCUCUUCGUCACCUCUAUAAACGAGAAACAUGUCCUUUGUCCUUUUCAGGUACUUCAGGAUAUUCUUGACCACUGUCCAGUGUUCCUUGCCGGGAUUACUUUGGUACCUUCCUACCAAACUUACGGCAAGGUUUACAUCUGGUCUGGUACACAGCAUGGCAUACAUAAUAGAUCCUAUGGCUGAGGCAUAGGGAAUGACACUCAUCUCUUCUUUAUCUUUUGCCAUGGUCGGGCAUUGAGCCGAGCUCAAUCUCACACCUUGCAAUGCAGGCAAGAACCCUUUCUUGGACUGAUCCAUUUUGAACUUCUUCAAAAUCUUAUCAAGGUAUGUGCUUUAUGAAAGACCUAUGAGGCAUCUCUAUCUAUCCCUAUAGAUCUUGAUGCCUAAUAUGUAAGAAGCUUCUCCAAGGUCCUUCAUUGAAAAACACUUAUUCAAGUAGGCCUUAAUGCUGUCCAAGAAUUAUAUAUCAUUUCCCAUAAAAAGUAUGUCAUCUACAUAUAAUAUGAGAAAUGCUACAGAGCUCCCACUCACUUUCUUGUAAACGCAGGCUUCUCCAUAAGUCUGCAUAAACCCAAACGCUUUGACCAUCUCAUCAAAGCGAAUGUUCCAACUCCGAGAUGCUUGCACCAGCCCAUAAAUGGAUCGCUGGAUCUUGCAUACUUUGUUAGCGUUCUUAGGAUCGACAAAACCUUCUGGCUGCAUCAUAUACAUCUCUUCCUUAAGAUAACAGUUAAGGAAUGCCGUUUUGACGUCCAUCUACCAUAUCUCAUAAUCAUAGUAUGCAGCAAUUGCUAACACGAUUCAGAUGGACUUAAGCUUCGCUACGGGAGAGAAAGUCUCGUCAUAGUCAACCCCUUGAACUUGCCGAUAACCCUUGGCGACAAGUCAAGCUUUAUAGAUGGUGACAUUACCAUCCGCGUCCGUCUUCUUCUUAAAGAUCCAUUUGUUUUCUAUCGCUCGCCGAUCAUCGGGCAAGUCAGUCAAAGUCCAUACUUUGUUUUCAUACAUGGAUUCUAUCUCGGAUUGCAUGGCUUCUAGCCAUUUGUUGGAAUUUGGGCCCGCCAUCGCUUCUUCAUAGUUCGAAGGUUCACCGUUGUCUAACAACAUGAUUUCCAGGACAGGGUUGCCAUACCACUCUGGUGUGGAACGUGUCCUCGUGGACCUACGAAGUUCAGUAGCAACUUGAUCCGAAGUACCUUGAUCAUCAUCAUUAAUUUCCUCUCCAGUCAGUGUAGGCACCACAGGAACAUUUUCCUGAGCUGCACUACUUUCCGGUUCAAGAGGUAGUACUUCACCAAGUUCUACUUUCCUCCCACUUACUCCUUUCGAGAGAAACUCUUUUUCCAGAAAGGAUCAGUUCUUGGCAACAAAGAUCUUACCUUCGGAUCUAAGGUAGAAGGUAUACCCAAUGGUUUCCUUGUGGUAUCCUAUGAAGACGCAUUUUUCCGACUUGGGUUCGAGCUUUUCAGGUUGAAGUUUCUUGACAUAAGCAUCGCAUCCCCAAACUUUUAGAAACGACAGCUUAGGUUUCUUCCCAAACCAUAAUUCAUAUGGUGUCGUCUCAACGGAUUUAGACGGUGCCCUAUUUAAAGUGAAUGUAGCUGUCUCCAGAGCGUAUCCCCAAAAUGGUAGCGGUAAAUCGGUAAAAGACAUCAUAGAUCGCACCAUAUCCAAUAGAGUGCAAUUACGACUUCGGACACACCGUUACGCUGAGGUGUUCCAGGCGGCGUGAGUUGUGAAACGAUUCCACAUUUCCUUAAGUGCGUACCAAAUUCAUGACUUAAAUAUUCUCCUCCACGAUCUGAUCGUAAGAAUUUUAUCUUUCGGUCACGUUGAUUCUCCACUUCAUUCUGAAAUUCCUUGAACUUUUCAUAGGUCUCAGACUUGUGUUUCAUCAAGUAGACAUACCCAUAUCUACUUAAGUCAUCAGUGAGAGUGAGAACAUAACGAUAUCCUCCACGAGCCUCAACGCUCAUUGGACCACACACAUCAGUAUGUAUGAUUUCCAAUAAGUUGGUUGCUCGCUCCAUUGUUCCGGAGAACGGAGUCUUGGUCAUUUUGCCUAUGAGGCAUGGUUCGCAUGUGUGAAAUGAUUCAUAAUUGAGAGACUCUAAAAGUCCAUCAGCAUGGAGCUUCUUCAUGCGCUUGACACCAAUGUAACCAAGGCGGCAGUGCCACAAGUAUGUGGGACUAUCGUUAUCAACUUUACAUCUUUUGGUAUUCAUGCUAUGAAUAUGUGUAAUAUUACGUUCAAGAUUCAUUAAGAAUAAACCAUUGACCAUCGGGGCAUGACCAUAAAACAUAUCUCUCAUAUAAAUAGAACAACCAUUAUUCUCGGGUUUAAAUGAGUAGCCUUCUCGUAUUAAACGAGAUCCAGAUACAAUGUUCAUGCUCAAACUUGACACUAAAUAACAAUUAUUGAGGUUCAUAACUAAUCCCGUGGGUAAAUGUAGAGGUAGCGUGCCGACGGCGAUCACAUCGACCUUGGAACCAUUCCCGACGUGCAUCGUCACCUCGUCCUUCGCCAGUCUCCGCUUAUUCCGUAGCUCCUGCUGUGAGUUACAAAUAUGAGCAACGGCACCGGUAUCAAAUACCAGGAGUUACUAUGAGUACUGGUAAGGUACACAUCAAUUACAUGUAUAUCACAUAUACCUUUAGUGUUGCUGGCCUUCUUGUCCGCUAAGUAUUUGGGGCAGUUUCGCUUCGAGUGACCCUUCCGUUUGCAAUAAAAGCACCCAGUCUUAGGCUUGGGUCCAUUCUUUGACUUCUUCCCGGUAACUGGCUUAUCGGGCGCGGCAACAUCUUUGCCGUCGUUCUUGAAGUUCUUCUUACCCUUGCCCUUCUCGAACUUAGUGGUCUUAUUGACUAUCAACACUUGAUGUUCUUUCUUGAUUUCAACCUCUGCUGACUUCAGCAUUGAAAAUACUUCAGGAAUGGUCUUUACCAUCCCCUGCAUAUUGUAGUUCAUCACAAAGCUCUUGUAGCUUGGUGGGAGCGACUGAAGGAUUCUGUCAAUGACCGCCUCGUCCGGGAGGUUGAUCUCCAGCUGGGACAGGCGAUUGUGCAACCCAGACAUUUUGAGUAUGUGCUCACUGACAGAACUAUUUUCCUCCAUCUUACAACUAUAGAACUUGUCGGAGACUUCAUAUCUCUCGACCCGGGCAUGAGCUUGAAAAACCAUUUUCAGCUCCUCGAACAUCUCAUAUGCUCCGUGUUGCUCAAAACUCUUUUGGAGCCCUGGUUCUAAGCUGUAAAGCAUGCCGCACUAAACGAGGGAGUAAUCAUCAGCACGUGACUGCCAAGCGUUCAUAAUGUCUUGGUUCUCUGGGAUGGGUGCUUCACCUAGCGGUCCUUCUAGGACAUAUGCUUUCUUGGCUGCUAUGAGGAUAAUCCUCAGGUUCCGGACCCAGUCCGAAUAGUUGCUGCCAUCAUCUUUCAGCUUGGUUUUCUCUAGGAACGCGUUGAAGUUCAUGUUGACAUGAGCGUUGGCCAUUUGAUCUACAAGACAUAUUUUGCAAAGAUUUUAGACUAAGUUCAUGAUAAUUAAGUUCAUCUAAUCAAAUUAUUUAAUGAACUCCCACUCAGAUUUGACAUCCCUCUAGUCAUCUAAGUGUUACAUGAUCCGAGUCGACUAGGCCGUGUACGAUCAUCACGUGAGACGGACUAGUCAUCAUGGGUGAACAUCUCCAUGUUGAUCGUAUCUUCCAUACGACUCAUGUUCGACCUUUCGGUCUCUUGUGUUCCGAGGCCAUGUCUGUACAUGCUAGGCUCGUCAAGUUAACCCUAAGUGUUUAUGCAUGUGUAAAACUGUCUUACACCCGUUGUAUGUGAACGUAAGGAUCUAUCACACUUGAUCAUCACGUGGUGCUUCAAAACGACAAACUUUAGCAACGAUGCACAGUUAGGGGGAACACUUUCUUGAAAUUAUUAUAAGGGAUCAUCUUAUUUACUACCGCCGUUCUAAGUAAACAAGAUGCAUAAAACAUAAUAAACAUCACGUGCAAUUAUAUAAAGUAGUGACAUGAUAUGGCCAAUAUCAUAUAGCUCCUUCGAUCUCCAUCUUCGGGGCUCCAUGAUCAUCUUCGUCACCGGCAUGACACCAUGAUCUCCAUCAUCGUGCCUCCAUGAAGUUGCUCGCCAACUAUUACUUCUACUACUAUAGCUAACGGUUUAGAAAUAAAGUAAAGUAAUUACAUGGCGUUAAAUCAUUGACACGCAGGUCAUACAAUAAUUAAGACAACUCCUAUGGCUCCUGCCGGUUGUCAUACUCAUCGACAUGCAAGUCGUGAUUCCUAUUACAAGAACAUGAUCUCAUACAUCACAAUAUAUCAUUCAUCAUUCAUCACAACUUCUGGCCAUAUCACAUCAUAUGACAAUUGCUGCAAAAACAAGUUAGACGUCCUCUAAUUGUUGUUGCAUCUUUUACAUGGCUGCAAUUGGGUUCUAGCAGUAACGCUUUCUUACAUACAAAUAACCACAACGUGAUUUUGUCAACUUCUAUUUACCCUUCAUAAGGACCCUUUUCAUCGAAUCCGCUCCAACUGAAGUAGGAAAGACAGAAACCCGCUAGCCACCUUAUGCAACUAGUGCAUGUCAGUCGGUGGAACCUGUCUCAUGUAAGCUUACGUGUAAGGUCGGUCCGGGCCGCUUCAUCCCACAAUACCGCUGAAGCAAGAAAAGACUAGUAGUGGCAAGCAAGUUGACAAGAUCUACGCCCACAACAGAUUUGUGUUCUACUCGUGCAAUAGAGAAUUACGCAUAGACCUAGCUCAAGAUGCCACUGUUGGGGAACGUUGCAGAAAAUAAUUUUUUUUCUACGGUUUCACCAAGAUCCAUCUAUGAGUUCAUCUAAGCAACGAGUGAUAGGAGAGAGAUGCAUCUACAUACCACUUUGUAGAUCGCGUGCGGAAGCGUUCAAGAGAACGGGGUUGAGGUAGUCGUUCUCGUCGUGAUCCUAUCACCGGAGAUCCUAGCGCCGAACGGACGACACUUCCGCGUUAAACAUGUUGGAAAUAUGCCCUAGAGGCAAUAAUAAAAGUAUUAUUAUAUUUCAUUGUUCAUGAUAAUUGUCUUUUAUUCAUGCUAUAACUGUAUUAUCCGGAAAUCGUAAUACACGUGUGAAUACUUAGACCACACAAUGUCCCUGGUAAGCCUCUAGUUGACCAGCUCGUUGUGAUCAAUAGAUAGUCAUGGUUUCCUGACUAUGGACAUUGGAUGUCAUUGAUAACGGGAUCACAUCAUUAGGAGAAUGAUGUGAUGGAGAAGACCCAAUCCUAAGCAUAGCAUAAAAGAUCGUGUAGUUCGUUUUGCUAGAGCUUUGCAAGUGUCAAGUAUCUCUUCCUUCGACCAUGAGAUCGUGUAACUCCCGGAUACCGUAAGAGUGCCUUGGGUGUACCAAACGUCACAACGUAACUGGGUGACUAUAAAGGUGCAUUGCAGGUAUCUCCGAAAGUAGCUGUUGGGUUGACACGGAUCGAGACUGGGAUUUGUCACUCCGUAUGACGGAGAGGUAUCUCUGGGCCCACUCAGUAAUGCAUCAUCAUAUUGAGCUCAAUGUGACCAAGGUGUUGGACACGGGAUCAUGCAUUACGGUACGAGUAAAGUGACUUGCCGGUAACGAGACUGAACAAGGUAUUGGGAUACCGACGAUCGAGUCUCGGGCAAGUAACGUACCGAUUGACAAAGGGAAUUGCAUACAGGGUUUGAUCGAAUCCUCGACAUAGUGGUUCAUCCGAUGACAACAUCGAGGAGCAUGUGGGAGCCAUCAUGGGUAUCCAGAUCCCGCUGAUGGUUAUUGACUGAGAGAGUCUCGGUCAUGUCUGCAUGUCUCCCGAACCCGUAGGGUCUACACACUUAAGGUUCAGUUACGCUAGGGUUAUAGGGAUAUGUAUAUGCAGUAACCCGAAUGUUGUUCGGAGUCCCGGAUGAGAUCCCGGACGUCACGAGGAGUUCCGGAAUGGUCCGGAGGUAAAGAUUUAUAUAUGGGAAGUCCUGUUUCGGGCAUCGGGACAAGUUUCGGGGUUAUCGGUAUUGUACCGGGACCACCGGAAGGGUCCCGGGGGUCCACCGGGUGGGUCCACCUGUCCCGGGGGGCCACAUGGGCUGUAAGGGGGUGCGCCUUGGCCUAAUGGGCCAAGGGCACCAGCCCCACAUAGGCCCAUGCGCCUAGGGUUUAAGGGGGCAAGAGUCCUAGGAGGGUAAGGCACCUCCUAGGUGCCUUGGGGGGAGGGAAAACCCCGCUUGGCCGCCGCACCCCCUAGGAGAUUGGAUCUCCUAGGGCCGGCCACCCCCCCUUGGCACCCCUAUAUAUAGUGGGGGAGAGGAGGGACUUCAUACCUGAACGCCCUGGCCUUUGGUUGCCUCCUUCUCCCUCCCCAACACCUCCUCCACCUCCAUAGUGCUUAGCGAAGCUCUGCCGGAGUACUGCAGCUCCACCAACACCACGCCGUCGUGCUGCUGCUGGUGCCAUCUCCCUCAACCUCUCCUCCCUUCCUUGCUGGAUCAAGAAGGAGGAGACGUGGCUGUUCCGUACUGUGUUGAACGCGGAGGUGCCGUCCGUUUGGCACUGGUCAUCGGUGAUUUGGAUCACGUCGAGUACGACUAGAUCAUCACCUUGCAAGCUUCCGCACGCGAUCUACAAGUGGUAUGUAGAUGCAAACUCUCUCCCUAGACUCGUUGCUUAGAUGAACUCAUAGAUGGAUCUUGGUGAAACCGUAAGAAAAAUUUUAAUUUUCUGCAACGUUCCCCAACAGUGGCAUCAUGAGCUAGGUCUAUGCGUAGUUCUCUUUGCACGAGUAGAACACAACUUUGUUGUGGGCGUGGAUUUUGUCAUCUUACUUGCCUCUACUAGUCUUUUCUUGCUCAACGGUAUUGUGGGAUGAAGCGGCCCGGACCAACCUUACACGUACACUUACGUGAGACCGGUUCCACCGACUGACAUGCACAAGUUGCAUAAGGUGGCUGGCGGGUGUCUGUCUCUCCCACCUUAGUUGGAGCGGAAUCGAUGAACAGGGCCCUUAUGAAGGGUAAAUAGAAGUUGACAAAAUCACGUUGUGGUGAUUCGUAGGUAAGAAAACUUUCUUGCUAGAACCCAAUUGCAGCCACGUAAAAGAUGCAACAACAAUUAGAGGACGUCUAACUUGUUUUUGCAGCGAUUGAUCAUGUGAUGUGAUAUGGCCAGAAGUUGUGAUGAAUGAUGAAUUGUGAUGUAUGAGAUCAUGUUCUUUGUAAUAGGAUUCACGACUUGCAUGUCGAUGAGUAUGACAACCGGCAGGAGCCAUAGGAGUUGUCAUUAUUUUUUGUAUGACCUGCGUGUCAUUGAAUAACGCCAUGUAAACUACUUUACUUUAUUGCUAAACGUUAGUCAUAGAAGUAGAAGUAGUCGUUGGCGUGACAACUUCAUGAAGACACGAUGAUGGAGAUCAUGAUGAUGGAGAUCAUGGUGUCAAGCCGGUGACAAGAUGAUCAUGGAGCCCCGAAGAUGAAGAUCAAUGGAGCUAUAUGAUAUUGGCCAUAUCAUGUCACAACUAUAAUUGCAUGUGAUGUUUAUUAUGUAUUAUGCAUCUUGUUUACUUAGGACGACGGUAGUAAAUAAGAUGAUCCCUUAUAAAAUUUCAAGAAGUGUUCUCCCCUAACUGUGCACCGUUGCUACAGUUCGUCGUUUCUAAGCACCACGUGAUGAUCGGGUGUGAUGGAUUCUUACGUUCACAUACAACGGGUGUAAGACAGUUUUACACAGCGAAAACACUUAGGGUUAACUUGACGAGCCUAGCAUGUGCAGACAUGGCCUCGGAACACGGAGACCGAAAGGUCGAACACGAGUCGUAUGGAAGAUACGAUCAACAUGAAAAUGUUCACCGAUGAUGACUAGUCCGUCUCACGUGAUGAUCGGACACAGACUAGUCGACUCGGAUCGUGUAACACUUAGAUGACUAAAGGGAUGUCUAAUCUAAGUGGGAGUUCAUAAUUUGAUUAGAACUUUAUUAUCAUGAACUUAGUCUAAAACCUUUGCAAAUAUGUCUUGUAGAUCAAUGGCCAACGCUAAUGUCAACAUGAACUUCAACGCGUUCCUAGAGAAAACCAAGCUGAAAGAUGAUGGCAGCAACUAUACGGACUGGGUCCGGAACCUGAGGAUCAUCCUCAAUAGCUGCCAGGAAACAAUAUGUCCUAGAAGGACCGCUAGGUGACGCUCCCAUCCCAGAGAACCAAGACAUUAUGAAUGCUUGGCAGUCUCGCACUGAUGAUUACUCCCUCGUUCAGUGCGGCAUGCUUUACAGCUUAGAACCGGGGUCCAAAACCGUUUUGAGCAUCACGGAGCAUAUGAGAUGUUCGAAGAGCUGAAACUAGUUUUUCAAGCUCAUGCCCGGGUCGAGAGAUAUGAUGUCUCCGACAAGUUCUACAGUUGUAAGAUGGAGGAGAACAGUUCUGUCAGUGAGCACAUCCUGAAGAUGUCUGGGUUGCACAACCGUAUGACCCAGGUGAACAUUAACCUCCCAGAUGAGGCGGUCAUUGACAGAAUCCUCCAGUCGCUCCCACCAAGCUACAAGAGCUUUGUGAUGAACUACAACAUGCAGGGAAUGGAAAAGACCAUUCCUGAAGUGUUCUCGAUGCUGAAGUCAGCAGAGGCUGAAAUCAAGAAAGAACAUCAAGUGUUGAUGGUCAAUAAGACCACUAAGUUCAAGAAAGGCAAGGGUAAGAAGAACUUCAAGAAGGACGGCAAAGAUGUUGCCGCGCCUGGUAAGCCAGUUACCGGGAAGAAGUCAAAGAAUGGACCCAAGCCUGAGACUGAGUGCUUUUAUUGCAAGGGGAAGGGUCACUGGAAGCGGAACUGCCCCAAAUACUUAGCGGAUAAGAAGGCCGGCAACACCAAAGGUAUAUUUGAUAUACAUGUGAUUGAUGUGUACCUUACCAGUACUCGUAGUAACUCCUGGGUAUUUGAUACCGGUGCCGUUGCUCAUAUUUGUAACUCACAUCAGGAGCUGCGGAAUAAACGGAGACCGGCGAAGGACGAGGUGACGAUGCGCGUCGGGAAUGGUUCCAGAGUCGAUGUGAUCGCCGUCGGCACGCUGCCUCUACAUUUACCUACGGGAUUAGUUUUGAACCUUAAUAAUUGUUAUUUAGUGCCAAGUUUGAGCAUGAACAUUGUAUCUGGAUCUCGUUUAAUACGAGAUGGCUACUCAUUUAAGUCUGAGGAUAAUGGUUGUUCGAUUUAUAUGAGAGAUAUGUUUUAUGGUCAUGCUCCGAUGGUCAAUGGUUUAUUCUUAAUGAAUCUCGAGCGUAAUAUUACACAUGUUCAUAGUGUAGAUGCCAAAAGAUUUAAAGUUGAUAACGAUAGUCCCACAUACUUGUGGCACUGCCGCCUUGGUCACAUUGGUGUCAAGCGCAUGAAGAAGCUCCAUGCCGGUGGACUUUUAGAGUCUCUUGAUUAUGAAUCGUUUGACACGUGCGAACCAUGCCUCUUAGGUAAAAUGACCAAGACUCCGUUCUCCGGAACAAUGGAGCGAGCAACCAACUUGGUGGAAAUCAUACAUACCGAUGUGUGCGGUCCAAUGAGCGUUGAGGCUCGCGGAGGAUAUCGCUAUGUUCUCACUCUCACAGAUGACUUGAGUAGAUAUGGGUAUAUCUACUUAAUGAAACACAAGUCUGAGACCUUUGAAAAGUUCAAGGAAUUUCAGAAUGAGGUGGAGAAUCAACGUGACCGAAAGAUAAAAUUCUUACGAUCAGAUCGUGGAGGAGAAUACUUAAGUCACGAAUUUGGUACACACUUAAAGAAAUGUGGAAUCGUUUCACAGCUCACGCCGCCUGGAACACCUCAGCGAAACGGUGUGUCCGAACGUCGUAAUCGCACUCUAUUGGAUAUGGUGCGGUCUAUGAUGUCUCUUACCGAUUUACCGCUAUCAUUUUGGGGAUACGCUCUAGAGACAGCUACAUUCACUUUAAAUAGGGCACCGUCUAAAUCCGUUGAGACGACACCGUAUGAAUUAUGGUUUGGAAAGAAACCUAAGCUGUCGUUUCUAAAAGUUUGGGGAUGCGAAGCUUAUGUCAAGAAACUUCAACCUGAAAAGCUCGAACCCAAGUCGGAAAAAUGCGUAUUCAUAGGAUACCCUAAGGAAACUGUAGGGUAUACCUUCUACUUAAGAUCCGAAGGCAAGAUCUUUGUUGCCAAGAACGGAUGCUUUCUGGAAAAAGAGUUUCUCUCGAAAGAAGUAAGUGGGAGGAAAGUAGAACUCGAUGAAGUACUACCUCUUGAGCGGGCUAGUGACGCAGCACAGGAAACCGUUCCUGUGAUGCCCACACCAACUGAAGAGGAAAACCAUGAUAAUGAUCAAGGGACUUCGGAUCGAGUUACUGCUGAACUUCGUAGGUCCACAAGGACACGUUCCGUACCAGAGUGGUACGGCAACCCUGUCCUGGAAAUCAUGUUGUUAGACAACAAUGAACCUUCGAACUAUGAAGAAGCAAUGGCGGGCCCGGAUUCCAACAAAUAGCUUGAAGCCAUGAAAUCCGAGAUAGAAUCCAUGUAUGAAAACAAAGUAUGGACUUUGACAGACUUGCCCGAUGAUCGGCGAGCGAUAGAAAACAAAUGGAUCUUUAAGAAGAAGACGGACGCGGAUGGUAAUGUUACCAUCUAUAAAGCUCGACUUGUCGCUAAGGGUUAUCGACAGGUUCAAGGGAUUGACUACGACGAGACAUUCUCUCCCGUAGCGAAGCUAAAGUCCGUCCGAAUCAUGUUAGCAAUUGCCGCAUACUAUGAUUAUGAGAUAUGGCAGAUGGACGUCAAAACAGCAUUCCUUAACGGGCAUCUUAAGGAAGAACUGUAUAUGAUGCAGCCGGAAGGUUUUGUCGAUCCUCGGAACGCUAACAAAGUAUGCAAGCUCCAGCGAUCCAUUUAUGGACUGGUGCAAGCAUCUCGGAGUUGGAACAUUCGCUUUGAUGAGAUGAUCAAAGCGUUUGGGUUUAUGCAGACUUAUGGAGAAGCCUGCGUUUACAAGAAAGUGAGUGGGAGCUCUAUAGCAUUUCUCAUAUUAUAUGUAGAUGACAUACUCCUGAUGGGAAAUAAUAUAGAAUUUCUGGACAGCAUUAAGGCCUACUUGAAUAAGUGUCUUUCAAUGAAGGACCUUGGAGAAGCUGCUUAUAUAUUAGGCAUCAAGAUCUAUAGAGAUAGAUCGAGACGCCUCAUAGGUCUUUCACAAAGCACAUACCUUGAUAAGAUUUUGAAGAGAUUCAGAAUGGAUCAGUCCAAGAAGGGGUUCUUGCCUAUGUUACAAGGUAUGAGACUGAGCUCAGCUCAGUCACCGACCACGGCAAAAGAUAAAGAAGAGAUGAGUGUCAUCCCCUAUGCUUCAGCCAUAGGAUCUAUUAUGUAUGUCAUGCUGUGUACCAGACCCGAUGUAAACCUUGCCGUAAGUUUGGUAGCAAGAUACCAAAGUAAUCCCGGCAAGGAACACUGGACAGCGGUCAAGAAUAUCCUGAAGUACCUGAAAAGGACAAAGGACAUGUUUCUCGUUUAUGGAGGAGACGAAGAGCUCGUCGUAAAGGGUUACGUCGACGCUAGCUUCGACUCAGAUCUGGAUGACUCUAAGUCACAAACCGGAUACGUGUAUAUGUUGAAUGGUGGAGCAGUAAGCUGGUGCAGCUGCAAGCAGAGCGUCGUGGCGGGAUCUACGUGUGAAGCGGAGUACAUGGCAGCCUCGGAGGCAGCACAUGAAGCGAUUUGGGUGAAGGAGUUCAUCACCGACCUAGGAGUCAUACCCAAUGCGUCGGGGCCGAUCAAACUCUUCUGUGACAACACUAGAGCUAUUGCCCUCGCAAAGGAGCCCAGGUUUCACAAGAAGACCAGGCACAUCAAGCGUCGUUUCAACUCCAUCCGUGAAAAUGUUCAAGAUGGAGACAUAGAGAUUUGCAAAGUGCACACGGAUCUGAAUGUUGCAGAUCCGCUGACUAAACCUCUCUCGCGUGCAAAACAUGAUCAACACCAGAACUCUAUGGGUGUUCGAUUCAUCACAAUGUAACUAGAUUAGUGACUCUAGUGCAAGUGGGAGACUGUUGGAAAUAUGCCCUAGAGGCAAUAAUAAAAGUAUUAUUAUAUUUCAUUGUUCAUGAUAAUUGUCUUUUAUUCAUGCUAUAACUGUAUUAUCCGGAAAUCGUAAUACACGUGUGAAUACUUAGACCACACAAUGUCCCUGGUAAGCCUCUAGUUGACCAGCUCGUUGUGAUCAAUAGAUAGUCAUGGUUUCCUGACUAUGGACAUUGGAUGUCAUUGAUAACGGGAUCACAUCAUUAGGAGAAUGAUGUGAUGGAGAAGACCCAAUCCUAAGCAUAGCAUAAAAGAUCGUGUAGUUCGUUUUGCUAGAGCUUUGCAAGUGUCAAGUAUCUCUUCCUUCGACCAUGAGAUCGUGUAACUCCCGGAUACCGUAAGAGUGCCUUGGGUGUACCAAACGUCACAACGUAACUGGGUGACUAUAAAGGUGCAUUGCAGGUAUCUCCAAAAGUAGCUGUUGGGUUGACACGGAUCGAGACUGGGAUUUGUCACUCCGUAUGACGGAGAGGUAUCUCUGGGCCCACUCGGUAAUGCAUCAUCAUAUUGAGCUCAAUGUGACCAAGGUGUUUGACACGGGAUCAUGCAUUACGGUACGAGUAAAGUGACUUGCCGGUAACGAGACUGAACAAGGUAUUGGGAUACCGACGAUCGAGUCUCGGGCAAGUAACGUACCGAUUGACAAAGGGAAUUGCAUACAGGGUUUGAUCGAAUCCUCGACAUAGUGGUUCAUCCGAUGACAACAUCGAGGAGCAUGUGGGAGCCAUCAUGGGUAUCCAGAUCCCGCUGAUGGUUAUUGACUGAGAGAGUCUCGGUCAUGUCUGCAUGUCUCCCGAACCCGUAGGGUCUACACACUUAAGGUUCAGUUACGCUAGGGUUAUAGGGAUAUGUAUAUGCAGUAACCCGAAUGUUGUUCGGAGUCCCGGAUGAGAUCCAGAACGUCACGAGGAGUUCCGGAAUGGUCCGGAGGUAAAGAUUUAUAUAUGGGAAGUCCUGUUUCGGGCAUCGGGACAAGUUUCGGGGUUAUCAGUAUUGUACCGGGACCACCGGAAGGGUCCCGGGGGUCCACCGGGUGGGUCCACCUGUCCCGGGGGGCCACAUGGGCUGUAAGGGGGUGCGCCUUGGCCUAAUGGGCCAAGGGCACCAGCCCCACAUAGGCCCAUGCGCCUAGGGUUUAAGGGGGCAAGAGUCCUAGGAUGGUAAGGCACCUCCUAGGUGCCUUGGGGGGAGGGAAAACCCCCCUUGGCCGCCGCACCCCCUAGGAGAUUGGAUCUCCUAGGGCCGGCCACCCCCCCUUGGCACCCCUAUAUAUAGUGGGGGAGAGGAGGGACUUCAUACCUGAACGCCCUGGCCUUUGGUUGCCUCCUUCUCCCUCCCCAACACCUCCUCCACCUCCAUAGUGCUUAGCGAAGCUCUGCCGGAGUACUGCAGCUCCACCAACACCACGCCGUCGUGCUGCUGCUGGUGCCAUCUCCCUCAACCUCUCCUCCCUUCCUUGCUGGAUCAAGAAGGAGGAGACGUGGCUGUUCCGUACGUGUGUUGAACGCGGAGGUGCCGUCCGUUUGGCGCUGGUCAUCGGUGAUUUGGAUCACGUCGAGUACGACUACAUCAUCACCUUGCAAGCUUCCGCACGCGAUCUACAAGUGGUAUGUAGAUGCAAACUCUCUCCCUAGACUCGUUGCUUAGAUGAACUCAUAGAUGGAUCUUGGUGAAACCGUAAGAAAAAUUUUAAUUUUCUGCAACGUUCCCCAACAAAACACACGUACGGUCAGCAUGACGUCUCCUCCGUCUUGAUCCAGCAAGGGGGAAGGAGAGGUUGAUGAAGAUCCAGAAGCACGACGGCGUGGUGGUGGAUGCAGCAGAACUCCGGCAGGGCUUCGCCAAGCUAUCGCGGGAGGAGGAAGAGGUGUAGCAGGGGGAGGGAGGCGCCAAGACACAGGGUGCAGCUGCCCUCCCUCCCCCCAUCCUUUAUAUAGGCCCCCAGGGGGGCGCCGGCCCUGGGAGAUCCAAUCUCCCAAGGGGGGCGGCGGCCAAGGGGGUUGGAGUGCCCCCCAAGGCAUGUGGGGCGCGCCUCCCACCUAGGGUUUCCAACCCUAGGCGCAGGGGGGCCCAAGGGGGGCGCACCAGCCCACUAGGGGCUGGUUCGCCUCCCACUUCAGCCCACGGGGCCCUCCGGGAUAGGUGGCCCCACCCGGUGGACCCCCGGGACCCUUCCGGUGGUCCCGGUACAAUACCGGGUGACCCCGAAACUUUCCCGAUGGCCGAAACAGCACUUCCUAUAUAUAAUUCUUUACCUCCGGACCAUUCCGGAACUCCUUGUGAUGUCCGGGAUCUCAUCCGGGACUACAAACAACAUUCGGUUUGCUGCAUACUCAUAUUCAUACAACCCUAGCGUCACCGAACCUUAAGUGUGUAGACCCUACGGGUUCGGGAGAAAUGCAGACAUGACCGAGACGGCUCUCCGGUCAAUAACCAACAGCGGGAUCUGGAUACCCAUGUUGGCUCCCACAUACUCCUCGAUGAUCUCAUCGGAUGAACCACGAUGUCGAGGAUUCAAGCAACCCCGUAUACUAUUCCCUUUGUCGGACGGUAUGUUACUUGCCCGAGAUUCGAUCGUCGGUAUCCCAAUACCUCGUUCAAUCUCACUGCCGGCAAGUCACUUUACUCGUACCGUAAUGCAUGAUCCCGUGACCAGACACUUGGUCACUAUGAGCUCAUUAUGAUGAUGCACUACCGAGUGGGCCCAGUGAUACAUCUCCGUUAUACGGAGUGACAAAUCCCAGUCUCAAUCCGUGUCAACCCAACAGACACUUUCGGAGAUACCUGUAGUGCACAUUUAUAGUCACCCAGUUACAUUGUGACGUUUGGUACACCCAAAGCACUCCUACGGUAUCCGGGAGUUACACGAUCUCAUGGUCUAAGGAAGAGAUACUUGACAUUGGAAAAGCUCUAGCAAAACGAACUACACGAUCUUGUGCUAUGCUUAGGAUUGGGUCUUGCCCAUCACAUCAUUCUCCCAAUGAUGUGAUCCCGUUAUCAACAACAUCCAAUGUCCAUAGUCAGGAAACCAUGACUAUGUGUUGAUCAACGAGCUCGUCAACUAGAUGCUCACUAGGGACAUGUUGUGGUCUAAGUAUUCACACGUGUAUUAAGAUUUCCGGAUAAUACAAUUAUAGCAUGAAUAAAAGACAACUAUCAUUAACAAAGAAAUAUAAUAAUAAUCCUUUUAUUAUUGCCUCUAGGGCAUAUUUCCAACAUAUCCUUGGGGAAUCUCCUCUAUAUCAUUCAUUGGCCACUUAAGUAGGUGGCUCAGGGUCACUUUCGAUAACAUAUUGACACCGUCGGCAGCAGCGAGUUGUCAUGCCUUUCGUGUUACCCUCGAACCUACAUGAUUUUGAGUGGGUCACCUGACGAAGACGACGAAGGCGAGUGCGUCGCCCCGGCCGCAUGCCCUCUUCAUCGCCUCGCCUUGCUGGCCGUUGUCCGCGGCUAGAUUGCUCGGUUUUUGGUCUUCUGGUCGAGCCUCCAGGAUCUACAACUGGUCGCUGACAUAGAGAUGACAGACUUCGCUUGGACCGCAUGGCCCCGGCCUUGUCCAGCCCGUCCCAUGAAUGAUCAUGCAGACACCAGAAUACGAGGCCAUACCAUGGUACUACCUCUCUCUCAGCUUACAGGGCGUGCGCGUACCCCUAGGUUGUCAAUUUGACCAACCUAAUACAAGUCAUAUAUUACAAAAAUUAUACCGACAUAAACUUUGAAGUUUCUACUUUCAAAAGAUAUAAUUUUUGUGUUAUAUAGUUUAUAUUAGGAUGAUAUAAUUGGCAACCUAGGUAUACGCGCAGGACUUGUAACCUGAAACGGAGGUAGUAAGUAUUCAACUCCAUCGAACUCUCUUAUUGACAUCACGCCAUGUCCAUUCUUUUCAAAAAAAAGCUAGCUAAUUAAGUAAAUUCCUGCCGCCGCCGGCGGCAUGCAACCAGCGUAGGCUCUGACUUUUGGCAGCGUUGGGAUGACAGUGCGUUGGGAGGAGUUGGGAUGGAGGACUUUCAAAGGGUGCCAGGCUGCCAGCCUGCACGCAGCGUCUGGAUGGCCAAGAACAUGGGGCGGCGACUGGAUUAUUAUUUAAGCGAUGGAUGGCCGGCAUUGGGGACGGAGCCACGGAGGGCUGUAGCGGCGGUCGGCUGCAAUCAGUCUAAUUACUUAGACGAAACAUAAUUACCAAUAUGUCCUUAAGCAAAAAUCUGACGGUCUCAAGCUGACCAUUAGAUUAACUAAAUACUACCCCAUUACGUUGAGUAGUAUGAUGUACCGUAAAAUUUCCCCCAUUCAAAUCCCCCCGGCCCUGGGGGUAUGGCCGGGGGGCGACGGCCCAGGGCCCAGGCCGGAGGGGGGCCAUGAUGAAGUAGGUAAGAAAAAAUAAGGCCCAUCAGAUAGAGCUAGUAGCGAUUAGUCAUUGGGCCAGACGAAGGCACGGCGCCACAGCCGCUCCUUUCGCUUAUGUGAAACAAAUCAGACAAGAUCUCAUCGAGUCAUAGUUUUGCUAAUUAGCUCGUGCAUUCGUUGCUCGUCGGUUCGUCUUCCUUGUUCGUCCUCUUCUCGAUCGUCGGCCUGUCGCUCGGCGCCUUGGCCAGUUGUCGUGGCUGCGCGCGCCGCGCAUCAGUCCGGCCAUUUGGCAUAUCCAGCAAGGAGGUAAUACGCACCACGUUCCUGAUCCACCCUCCAAACCCCAAUUUUUAGUAGUUUUUUGUUUUAUUCUUUAGUACAUGGAGUAAUUUCAGUGCAUAAUUUUCUAAUAAAAUCUUUCACAGUACGUAACCGCCCUAUUUUUUUAUCAUUCCGCGUACUUGUCUAGGGUUCCAAUCAUCCGAUAUAUAAAUUUCUGACAUUAUCAUGCCAUGUUGCCUAAAAAGCAUUUGUCGGUUACUGAAAGUAGGAGAAAAAAGAAAGAAAGUGAUCCGAAAAUUCGAACCGAAAGGGUUCUUCGAAUUUGGUCCUACUUUGAGGUUAUCAUGUCAUGUUAGUUUCAUUUUAGUAUAUUUUUAGUAUUUUUAUCAUAAUAUGGCUAUCUAACAAUUAUUAUAGUCAUCGAAUCUCAGACUAAAGAUGUUUAUGUAUCACCCACACACAUACAUAUAUAAGUAUGAUCUUAGGACAUAGGGGCCAUGUCGUCGAGUUCGCCUAGGGCCUCCUGAAACACAGGGCUGGCCCUGGUGCCUGGAUGGAUUUGGGGGCGCACCGGCUGCAACUUCGAUGCCAGCGGCCGCGGGUCGUGCAUCACGGCAAUUGCGGUGGCGUGCUGCCACCGGUGAGAAGCCACCCGCGAUGCUCGCCGAGUACACGCUAGGUAAGGGCGGCAGCCCUGACUUCUAUGACAUCUCCCUCGUCGACGGAUUCAACGUGCCCAUGAGCUUUGGGCCGGUCGGCAGCAGCUGUCACGUGAUAAGUUGUGCCGCGGACAUCAACGCAAAGUGCCCGUCGGAGCUGAAGGUCGACGGAGGCUGUGUGAGUGCGUACAUCAAGUUCGGCACCCCCCAGUACUGCUGCACGCCGCCGCUUACGCCGUCGACCUGUGGGUCGACGAACUACUCGCUCUUCUUCAAGGGGCACUGUCCGGACGCCUAAGGCUACGCCUACGAGAAGAGCAGCACCUUCACCUGCCACGUCCGAUCAGACUACCAAGUCACCUUCUGCCCAUAGAGGCGAUUGGGAUUCAAUUUACUUCGAUGGUUAAGUCUGUAAUUUAAUAGCGUUUCCAAUGUAAUAAUGGAAAUAAUGAUGACCGAUGAUUCCACAAAAAAAAUCUAUUGAAAAACUUUAUUGAGAAAAUUUGUUUGACAACAUUCUUUUUCUUUUGUGAGGAUAGAAUAGUCAACUUCUUUGUUUCGAGGACGAACAUACUUCUCUCUUUAAUCCAUGUUAAAUCAGCAACAAUUAAUAUAAAUCGAAGGGAGUAUAUGAAACAAGGCCUGCCCAAGUUUAGUUACCUUUUCUGAAGAUAGUAACUAACCGUGAAUCUCGUAUUUCCUAUAUAACUCUCGUUGCCUCGGUUUGUCUACGAGACAUCUUAUGUGACGCUCACCAUGUCUAACAGGUGUCUAACAGUAGCGAGCUGGGCCACCGGCCCAUAAACAAAGUACUGCUGCAGUACCUAAACACUGAUUAAGAAUCUGAAUGCAGGACCAAGUUCAAUGACCAUAAAUAAAGGAUAUUAAAGCAAAUAUGUCGUCCAUUGAAGAUGUUAGGGGUAAAGCAUGAGAUGAGAGAAUCACAUGAAGGAGCUCAAAGCCUAGCAAAAGCUGCUUUAUCGCUAGAUUUGGGGUGCCCCACCUGUGGGUUACAUACCCACCUGAAAUCGCUUGUAUCCCAAACGUUGUUUUGAGUUAAUAAAAACCUGGUGAUACCCCUCAAAAAAGCACUGCAGCAAUGCAAUGUAGCAACUACUCCCGCUAUAACCUUCUCCAAUACGUUUGUAGAGUCCAUGACAACAUUAAAAAACGACAUAUAUUAUAUUUGAGAAGAAGUAAUGUUCUAGCAUGGUACUGUAGUGGUCAUUUUUGGGGAAAAAUAGAACAACUUUUGGAAAGCCGUAGACAUCACCAGGGAAUGCCUGCCAGAGCUGCAGGUGCCCGGAGGGUGCGCGAGCGCGUGCGGCAAGUUCGGCGGCGACACGUACUGCUGCCGGGGCCAGUUCGAGCACAACUGCCCGCCGACGAACUACUCGAGGUUCUUCAAGGGCAAGUGCCCCGACGCCUACAGCUACGCCAAAGACGACCAGACCAGCACAUUCACCUGCCCCGCCGGAACCAACUACCAGAUCGUCCUCUGCCCCGCCCGAAAUGAUUUGCACAUGGAUCAGUAAGUAGAGGACGUACUACUCCUAGUAGUCUUCCUUGCUUAUUAUGAUCGUCGAUCAUUUCUGUGUGUGCGUGCGUGCGUGCAUGGCUGCUGCGUGCCAUUCAGAGAAAAUGGAAGUGUAAUUUCUACGGUUAUGUGGAGUGCAACUCUGUUUUAUUUUCUUACCUUAUUAUUGCCAUGAGUAAUGCAUCUAUGGAAAUUUUAAUAUGGUCCCUCUUACAUCCUCUUUGCUUACUCCUGUAAGUUUAGCAUUUUUGCUGUGCCCAAGCCCCAAGAGGACAUCCCAUUUCCGUACAUCAAAUCCAUAUAUAAUCAUGAUCGUGCAAGUUUAGCAUUUUCGUUGUGCCACCUUCCAUCUUCAUCUCUGGUAUAUCAUGUCGUUUAGCCGCAUAUGCACUUACGAUUACGCUUAGUCUAGAGAGGUUUUUAUUAACAUGCUCCUAGUCUAGACGGAUCACAAUAUAUCAUGUCGUUUAACCGCAUAUUCAUCUCUUUUUAUCCGCUUUGAUCUACCUUUUGUGUAUCUUUUGUAGCUAAGACAAAGAGGUAGCUGCACGUUGCUAUCCUAGAGUUAAUUCUGCUCGCCGUCGUGCACCACAGACAUCCACGAUGGAGGUGGUCACCUAAUUAUCUUACCCACAAUCAAGUUAAUCAGCAAUGUGCUGUUUUUUCUCUUGACACAACUCAAGAUAGCGGUAGGACCACUGACCUUGAACACUUGAUGAUAGAGCUCAAGUGUCAUUAGUAGCUAGGACCAUGAAACAAGAUGAGAAUAGUCCACGAGCUCAAGUGUCAUUAAUAGCUAGGACCAUGAAAACAAUUUGUGGCCAAGAGUGAGUCACAACAUCUUCUCCCCCCCUUCUUGACAACCACAUUGCUAUGUCAAUAGAAAACAUUUAAAAAAAAUAACACAGCCAGGUGUGGACCAGUGAAUGUCUGCCUCCUAGAUGUAGGCUCUGUUUGAUAGCAAAGUAUUUUAGAAAAUACUACUGCAGUUUAAUUUACUUUGAGGUGUUUGGCUACUAUUAAAAACUUUGAUAUUAAUUCCAGAGUACUCCCUCCGUCCGGUGAAAAGUGUACAUAGUAUAAAUUUUUUAGGACCAAUUACGGAGUGGAGUAAAAAAUGCAUUGGAAAAGUGCAAGCCAUCAUCUCUCUCCUCUUUAAUUACCCAACCCAUGUACAAAUUAAGGAGACCAUGCGAGAGAAACAAAUUUUCCUAUUUUAAAGUGCAUUAGAAAGAUAGAAGUACACUCUUUUUGGACAAAUUUCAAAGCCAAAUGUACACUCUUCACCAGACGGAGGGAGUAUGUUCAAAACCAGAGUAUUUUCUCUGUCUUAAAAAAGAACCUUUGAGCGGACACGAAGUUUCUAAGCCCGAGCUCAAAUGAACUUUGAUGGACACUAAAACUGAAAACAAUUUAAAAACAAUCAAAAAAUCUGAAUAUUUUUUAUGACAAACAUUGACAAAUGUUCUAUGAGUUUUCAAAAUUUCAUCAUAGAAUCACAUUCCUAAAAGGCGUGGCAAAGAAAAUGGAUAUGUUACCACAACUUCCGCAAAUGUGACUCCACGAUGAAAUUUUGCAAGCUUUUAGAACAUUUGUUAAUGUUUAUCACAAAAAAGACAGACUUUUUUGAUUUUUUUAGAUUUGAUUUAUUGUUCACCCGAGCUCAUUUGACACUACUGCAGGAAUGCCCAGCAACGGCGGGUGCAAAAAGCCUAGUAGUGGCGGGCCGGGCUCUCAGAACCGCCCGCCANNNNNNNNNNNNNNNNNNNNNNNNNNNNNNNNNNNNNNNNNNNNNNNNNNNNNNNNNNNNNNNNNNNNNNNNNNNNNNNNNNNNNNNNNNNNNNNNNNNNNNNNNNNNNNNNNNNNNNNNNNNNNNNNNNNNNNNNNNNNNNNNNNNNNNNNNNNNNNNNNNNNNNNNNNNNNNNNNNNNNNNNNNNNNNNNAUCGCCCGCCACAACUAUAAUCUCUGCCCGCCACUAUGGUGUGUAUUAGCAGUGACAGACACCUUUGCCGCCUACCACUGGUAGUGUUGUCGGCAUAUAGAGAAAUUGCUGCCGCGGCAUUGUUUUUUUUUUGCUGCGCGCGGCUCUGAAGCAGUAUUUUGCACUCAAUCAUCCCAUUUCAUUCAAACAAUCAUACUACAACGGUGUUACAAUAAUUAAGAUUAUUAAUGAAGCAAACAUACAGUAUAAGAAGUGUAGGGCAACAAAUAAACAUGUAAAAUUGUCAACUCAUAAAAUGAACAACGAAUCAAGAUGUUUUGAAGCAUUGUAUCGCUCACACUCGAUUACCGAAUAUGUUUUCGACUCAGUGAAGUCGUUCUUCAUCUCGCUCUAGCUACAAGUGAAACUUCCCAUCUUCAUUUACAACCUCUUUGUUGAUGAUUCUGGCCAACACCUUUUGGAGGCGGCCAAACUCUGUUAAUAGUACCCCUAUGCCCAUGUCCCUCUCCAUCUCUUCGGACCACUUGAUGACCUGGCUAUGAUUAUGCAAAUAUUUGCUUUUCUUCAAAAAAGUCAUCCAUGAUAGCCAUGGCAUGACAUCCAGACCUAUGAGAGGUUUCCACAUUUUGUUCUUAAUAACAACAAGCGCUAGUGAAGAACUUGAAUUCUGAAUGUUCUGCUAUAGUCUCUUUGACGUUCUUACACUUGGCGAGAGCAUCAUUUAGAACCUUCUUCAAUCCAGUCCAGUUCUUUUGAGGGUGUCUCUUCGAAUUGAAGAAGUAAGCCAAGCCAUCCAUUGGCAAUAGUGCGAUUACGAUCCAAUGUCGGUUGCUGCGCAAAAAAAUAAAGAAAUUAGCAUUGAUGAGAUCAAACCACAAGGCCAUUUAUAUGUUUCAAAAUAAAUUAGUGAAUGUUAAUGACUUACUUCGCAGUAUGGCACUAGAAAGGUGUCCGCAUGUGGAUGAUUGACAAUAAAGAACGGGGAUAUGUGAACGGGAACAUGUAGUCUGAGAUGACCUCCUGGACUUCUGUGGUUUCCAGGUUGUGGCAGUGCAUGUAAAAAGGAUUAGGUAAGGACACUUUACCAUGCGGGAGUAGGGGAUCUGUAGCUCGAUGAAGUACCCAGAGCCUCAUUAACUCUAGGGAAACUGCACUAACGGAGAAAAUAUUUGCAUAGAUGACUUCAUCAAAGGCCAAAUCAAUUCUGUCGGGCGGAGACUCUGGGACAAAACUAUAACCUUCUAUCACCUUGGCCGUGUAUCCAUGUUGACAGUUUUUAAUUUAUCUACCACAUGAGCGUGUAGAAAUUGAAGAUCAAUCGAGACGGUCUCCAACAUAGAAUCUGAUAGAAGCAGUUCCCCAGGCUUAUACAUGUUCAUUUUCGGCCCUUCGGGGAUGACAACAUGCAUAGGUGGUUUGUCCGCAGAUUGUCUGCAACUGUCACGUGCAUUCUUCUCCCCUGAAUGUGGAUUAUCUGGCACUACAUCUCCGGUGCCGACAUAUCCUUGGGGAAUCUCCUCUAUAUCAUUCGUUGGCCACUUAAGUAGGUGGCUCAGGGUCAGUUUCAAUAACAUAUUGACACCGUCGGCAACAGCGAGUUGUCAUGCCUUUUGUGUUACCCUUGAACCUACAUGAUUUUGAGUGGGUCACCUGCGAAGACGACGAAGGCCAGUGCGUCGCCCCAGCCGCAUGCCCUCUUCAUCGCCUCGCCUUGCUGGCCGUCGUCCGUGGCUAGAUUGCCCGAUUUUUGGUCUUCUGGUCGAGCCUCCGGGAUCUACACACUAGUAGAAAAGGGGGCAUUGGUCCAUACCGGGUCAGCCCAUUAGUCCCGGUUCAGUCCAGAACCGGGACCAAUGGUGGCAUUGGACCCGGUUCAUGAGCCCCGGGGCCGGCCGGGCCACCUGGGCCAUUGGUCCCGGUUCGUCUGGACCUUUUGGUCCCGGUUGGUGGGACAAACCGGGACCAAUGGGCCUCGCUCCUGGCCCACCACGAUUGGUCCCGGUUAGUGGCAUGAACCGGGACCAAAGGCUGCCCUUUAGUCCCGGUUCAUGCCACCAACCGGGACCAAUGAGGUGCCUAUAUAUACCCCCUCGCGUAAGAGCAGAGCACACUGCUCUGUUUUUUUGGCAGCCGAGGGGGAGAGGGCUUGGUGGUGCUCUAGCUCACCUCCUAUGCACACAAGGUGUUCGACGGAAUGCCCGAGCCACACUACUUAAGCUUUCUCCUCUCCAAGCUCGACCUCCAAGCUCCAUUUUCCUCAAUAUUUGUCUAGGUUUAGCGGUCCGUCACGCCCCGUACCCGUCUUCACCACCGUCGAUCACCCGCGUCGAUCUCAUCGCCGGCACCACCGUGGUGAGCCUAUUGUUCUUAUCUUCUUUCUGAAAGGAAAAAUAUUCUUACUUGUAUGUUUAGAUAGAUACUUGUAUUAUUUUCUUACUUUUAUUAUUGCAUCUUAUAUAGUGCGAUGGUUUUGGUAUCUGCCCCCGUCGGUCCUCGUCCUGUCUAUGAUUCGGAUGUGGUAUAUAUUAUCUUUUCAUAACUAUUGGUGCAUUUAUUGUUUAUGAAAAUGAUGCCGACCAACAUGACAUAGAUUUUAUUUAUCUAGGAGGUUGUUGAACCGGAAAUUCCAACCGACCCUAUUGUCGAGAGGUUAAAUUUAGUUGAAGAAGAAAACAAUUUCUUGAAGGAAAAAAUAAGAAAAAUUGAGGAGGAGAAGAUGAUAUUGGAGUUGCAUGUUGCGGAUGUCGUCGAUGAUCACAAGAUCAAGAUGGAUGCAAUGCACUUGAAGAUUAGAAAGAUUAGAAAAUAUGCCAUUCAUACCGAGGCUUGGUAUUAUUAUGCCAUUGGAUCAGUUGUUACCUUGGUUGCGAUUAUGAUCGCAUUUGUUUUCGCAUUGAAAUGUUUUACAUAGUUUCAAUGUAUUGUUUAAUUAAUUUAGAUGCUCUGUAGAGCUUUAUGUUGUUCUGUAAUGAUUUUCGCUUGAAGAUGAGAACUAUGUAUGUACUUUGGUUUUAAUGUGAUGAUGAACUUCUAUUAAUUUGGUCACUUAGUUAUCUAUUCAUGAUGUUCUGUAAUGAUUUUUGACACACUUAAUUAUAUAUAAUGCACGCAGAUGAACCGGCAAUGGAUGUACGGUAACAAACACACCUCCGAGUACAUUAAGGGCGUGCAUGAUUUUCUCGAAGUGGCUGAGGAAAACAAGAAGAAUGGUUUUAUGUGUUGUCCAUGCCCUAUAUGUGGGAAUACGAAGUCUUACUCUGACCGGAAAAUCCUUCACACCCACCUGCUUUACAAGGGUUUCAUGCCACACUAUAAUGUUUGGACGAGGCACGGAGAAAUAGGGGUUAUGAUGGAAGAUGACGAAGAAGAAGAGUACGAUGACAACUAUGUGCCCCCUGAAUACGGUGAUCCUACUGAACAUCAAGAGGAACCAGAUGAUUUGCACGAUGAUGCUGCAACGGGCGAAGCUGCUGAAGAUCAAGAGGAACCAUACGAUGUGCCCGAUGAUGAUGAUCUCCGCCCGGUCAUUGUCGAUGCAAGGACGCAAUGCGAAAGUCAAAAGGAGAAGCUAAAGUUCGAUCGCAUGUUAGAGGAUCACAAAAAAGGGUUGUACCCCAAUUGUGAAGAUGGCAACACAAAGCUCGGUACCGUACUGGAAUUGCUGCAGUGGAAGGCAGAGAAUGCUGUGCCAGACAAAGGAUUUGAGAAGCUACUGAAAAUAUUGAAGAAGAAGCUUCCAAAGGAUAACUAAUUGCCCGACAGUACAUACGCAGCAAAGAAGGUCGUAUGCCCUCUAGGAUUGGAGGUGCAUAAGAUACAUGCAUUCCCUAAUGACUGCAUCCUCUACCACGGUGCAUACAAGGAUCUGAACGCAUGCCUGGUAUGCGGUGCAUUAUGGUAUAAGAUCAGACGAGAUGACCCUGGUGAUGUNNNNNNNNNNNNNNNNNNNNNNNNNNNNNNNNNNNNNNNNNNNNNNNNNNNNNNNNNNNNNNNNNNNNNNNNNNNNNNNNNNNNNNNNNNNNNNNNNNNNNNNNNNNNNNNNNNNNNNNNNNNNNNNNNNNNNNNNNNNNNNNNNNNNNNNNNNNNNNNNNNNNNNNNNNNNNNNNNNNNNNNNNNNNNNNNNNNNNNNNNNNNNNNNNNNNNNNNNNNNNNNNNNNNNNNNNNNNNNNNAGGGUUCCUGCGAAGGUGAUGUGGUAUGCUCCUAUAAUACCACCGUUGAAAUGUCUAUUUAGAAAUGAAGAGAAUGCCAAGUUGAUGCGAUGGCACAGUGAGGACCGUAAGAAAGACGGGAAGUUGAGAGCACCCGCUGACGGGUCGCAGUGGAGAAAAAUCGAGAGAAAGUACUGGGCUGAGUUUGCACGUGACCCAAGGAACGUAUGGUUUGCUUUAAGAGCAGAUGGCAUUAAUCCUUUCGGGGAGCAGAGCAGCAAUCACAGCACCUGGCCCGUGACUCUAUGUAUGUAUAAACUUCCUCCUUGGAUGUGCAUGAAGCGGAAGUUCAUUAUGAUGCCAGUUCUCAUCCAAGGCCCUAAGCAACCCAGCAACGACAUUGAUGUGUACCUAAGGCCAUUAGUUGAAGAACUUUUACAGCUGUGGAAUGGAAACGGUGUACGUACGUGGGAUGAGCACAAACAGGAGGAAUUUAACCUAAAUACGUUGCUAUUCAUGAGCAUCAAUGAUUGGCCCGCUCUCAGUAACCUUUCAGGACAGACAAACAAGGGAUACCACGCAUGCACGCACUGUUUACUUGACACCGAAAGUAUAUACCUGGGAAGCUGCAGGAAGAAUGUGUACCUGGGCCAUCGUUGAUUUCUUCCGACCAACCAUCAACGUCGAAAGAAAGGCAAGCAUUUCAAAGGCGAGGCAGAUCACCGUAAGAAGCCCGCCAUGCGUACCGGUAAUCACGUACUUGCUAUCGUCAAUGAUUUACACGUAAUCUUUGGAAAGGGUCCCGGCGCACUAGCUGUUCCGAAUGACGCCGAGGGACACGCACCCAUGUGGAAGAAGAAAUCGAUAUUUUGGGACCUACCCUACUGGAAAGACCUAGAGGUCCGCUCUUCAAUUGACGUGAUGCACGUAACGAAGAACCUUUGUGUGAACCUGCUAGGCUUCUUGGGCGUGUAUGGAAAGACAAAAGAUACAGCUGAGGCACGGGAGGACCUGCAACGUUUGCACAAAAAAGACGGCAUGCCUCCAAAGCAGUAUGAAGGUCCUGCCAGCUAUGCUCUUACCAAAGAAGAGAAGGAAAUCUUCUUUGAAUGCCUGCUUAGUAUGAAGGUCCCUAAAGUCUCAUGACUGCCACAUGAUUAUGACGCAACUGCUUCCGGUUAAAUUGAGGGGGCUUCUACCAGAAAACGUCCGAUUAGCCAUUGUGAAGCUAUGUGAAUUCCUCAAUGCAAUCUCUCAGAAGGUGAUCGAUCCAGAAAUCAUACCAAGGCUAAGGAGUGAUGUGGUGCAAUGUCUUGUCAGUUUCGAGCUGGUGUUCCCACCAUCCUUCUUCAAUAUCAUGACGCAUGUCUUAGUUCAUCUAGUCGACGAGAUUGUCAUUCUGGACCCCGUAUUUCUACACAAUAUGUACCCCUUUGAGAGGUUCAUGGGAGUCCUAAAGAAAUAUGUCUUUACCGUGCUAGGCCAAAAGGAAGCAUCUCCAUGGGCCAUCAAAUAGAGGAUAUCACCGGGUUUUGUGUUGACUUCAUUCCUGGCCUUAAGAAGAUAGGUCUCCCUAAAUUGCGGUAUGAGGGGAGACUGACUGGAAAAGACACGCUUGGAAGGGACUCAAUAAUAUGCAGGGACGGAUAUUCUUGGUCUCAGGCACACUAUACAGUUCUAAAGAACUCUACCUUGGUGACCCCGUAUGUCGAUGAACACAAGAACAGUCUGUGCUCCAAACACCCAGAGCAGUGCGACAACUGGAUUACAUGUGAACACAUCAGGACUUUCAGCAGUUGGUUGGAAACUUGUCUCAGAGGUGACAACACUGUUUGUGAUGAGCUGUACUUGUCGUCCAGGGGACCAUCUUCGACUAUUACGAUUUGCUAAGGAUACGAGAUAAAUGGGAAUACAUUUACACGAUUGACCAAGAUCAAAAGAGCACCAACCAAAACAGCGGUGUCUGCUUUGAUGCAACAACCGAGAGGGGAAGGGACACGUAUUAUGGUUACAUAGUGGACAUAUGGGAACUUGACUACGGACAUGAUUUUAAGGUUCCUUUGUUUAAGUGCAAAUGGGUCAAUCUGUCAGGAGGCGGGGUACAUGUAGACCAACAGUACGGAAUGACAACAGUGGAUCUGAAAAAUCUUGGGUACACUGAUGAACCGUUCGUCCUAGCCAAUGAUGUGGCACAGGUUAUCUAUGUGAAGGACAUGUCUACCAGACUGAGAAAAAGAAAAGGUAAGGAAGCGAAUACAUCAUAUGAUGAGCCAAAGCACCACAUAGUUCUUUCAGGAAAAAGGGACAUCGUGGGAGUGGAGGGCAAGACAGACAUGUCUGAAGAUUAUGAAAAGUUUCAUGAAAUUCCUCCCUUCAAAGUCAAGGCUGACCCCAGCAUCCUGAUAAACGAUGAAGAUUAUACAUGGUUAUGACGCAAUAAGCAAAUGACACAAGCGAAGAAAAAGUGAAGAAUUUCUCCCGCAACUGUUAUGAUGAUACCAUGCCAACUUUGUAACAGACGAGUAUGAUACCAUUGUUCGUUUUGUACGUGCACAUGCUAUGUGGGUGAAAUUAUGAUACCAUGCCAACUUUCAACUUUUUCAGAGUUCAUUUGAAAUGCUUUAAUGUCUUAUGGUUCGGCCCUCGUAAUACCAUUAAUCCCGGUUCGCUCCUUGUCAACUAUGUUCUCACCAAGAACACUCUCAAGAGGGCAGCCACGUGGGCCAUUGGUCCCGGUUCGUUUGGACCUUUUGGUCCCGGUUCCACGCACGAACCGGGACCAAUGCGCCUCGCCCCUGGCCCAUGACCAUUAGUCCCGGUUUGUGCCACAAACCAGAACUAAAGGGUUGGUCCUCGUUGCGCUUAGAGUUUAGUCCCACCUCGCCAACCGAAUGGCGCUCACACCGGUUUAUAAGCCCGUCCCUCUCUGCCUUGUUGAGCUCCACUCAAAGUGAAAAUAGAUGCCCCUAUACAGGAAAAUUGACCUAAAUUCAUAGUGAAUUUCUCUGAAAUUUAUAGGAAUUUAUUAUGAAUUUAGGUUGAAUUUUCUCUAUAGGCGCAUGUAUGUUCAUUUUUUAGUAAAGUUAAUCACAAACUUGUGAUUCACGCAAAUUUCAAAGAAUUCAAAUUUUGGCUAUUCAAAUUUGAAAACUAAUGGCACUAAAAGAAAGUUUAUGAUUUUUCUAAAACUAAUGGCACUAACAGAAAGUUAUAAUUUUGCUGACCUAAAAGCAAAAAGAAUUAAAAAAUAAAGCAAAAAACAAAAACAAAAAAUAAUACAGAAAACAAUACAAAAAACCGGAAACAAAAUAAAAAUAGCAACAAUAAGUAUUUUGUUGUAAGUAGAAACAAAAUAAAACAAAUAAAGCAAGAAAGAAAACAAGAAAAUAAAAAAAGUGUUUUCACAUUUGAAAACUAAUGGCACUAACAGAAAGUUUAUAAUUUUUCUAAAACUAAAAGCAAAAAGAAUUAAAAAAUAAAGCAAAAAACAAAGGAAAAUAAAUAAUGCUGAAAACAAAACAAAAAAACUGGAAAAAAUUAAAAAUAGCAACAAUAAGUAAAGAAAACAAAAAAUAAAAAAAUGCCUCCUACUGGGCCCCCACGGCCUGAAUACGACUAGAAACCCUACCAUGGACCAGGAUUCAGACCCGCAGGAGGCCCAGUAGGCCCGCAGGCAGAUAAGUGACUUUAGGCCCGUAAGCCUGCAUUUGAGAGGAGCUCGAAGUGGUCAGCGCAGCAGCGCUUAUAAACCACUGUCGAGCCCUCUGGGCUAGCGAGGUGGGACUAAACAUCCCACCGCACCACGCCGCGCCAGUUCCAGCACAAGGCCUUUGGUCCCGGUUGGAGCCACCAACCGGGACUAAACGGGUGCAUUGGUACCGGUUCGUGGCACAAACCGGGACCAAUGCCCACCUUUAGUCCCGGUUGGUGCCACCAACCGGGACCAAAGGCCGCCGCUUCCCGCCCUUUGGGCUGCCGAAAACUGGCCUUUGGNNNNNNNNNNNNNNNNNNNNNNNNNNNNNNNNNNNNNNCUCGCCGUCGCCCUGCCCCUGCCCCCACCCCCGCGCGCCGGCCCCGCUGUGAGCCGCCGCCCCGGCUCUAUUUUUUUAUUAGUUUAAUUUUUUUGUUCAUAUAUAUAUAUAAUGUAUAUGUGUAUGUAUGUGGCUAUAUGUUUUUUUAUUUUUAUUAGUUUAAUUUUUUUUGUUCAUAUGUGAUGUAUAUGUGUAUAUGGCUAUAAUAUAUAUGUGUAUGUGAUGUAUAUGUGUAUGUGUCUAUAAUGUAUAUGUGUAUGUGAUGUAUAUGUGUAUGUGGCUAGAAUAUGCUAAAUAUAUACGUGAAAAAUGUUUGUUUGUUCAUAGAAAGUUUUUUGUUCAUAUAUAGAAAGUUUUUAUAUAUGACAAUGGAUAUAUAUUCGAUAUAUAUGAGAAAUGAUGAUCCAUGGAAAAGGUUUAUAUAUGCAAAAGUUACAAUUUUAGAAAAGUUUUAUAUAUCUAGCUAGGAAGGGAAGAACAAGAAAAUGAAUAAUGAGAGGAAAAAGGAAAUAAGAAGAGGAAAGAAAGAAGAAGAGGAGAGGAAGAAGAGGAGAAAUAAAUAAGAAGAAAAAAAAGAAGAAAAGGAAGNNNNNNNNNNNNNNNNNNNNNNNNNNNNNNNNNNNNNNNNNNNNNNNNNNNNNNNNNNNNNNNNNNNNNNNNNNNNNNNNNNNNNNNNNNNNNNNNNNNNNNNNNNNNNNNNNNNNNNNNNNNNNNNNNNNNNNNNNNNNNNNNNNNNNNNNNNNNNNNNNNNNNNNNNNNNNNNNNNNNNNNNNNNNNNNNNNNNNNNNNNNNNNNNNNNNNNNNNNNNNNNNNNNNNNNNNNNNNNNNNNNNNNNNNNNNNNNNNNNNNNNNNNNNNNNNNNNNNNNNNNNNNNNNNNNNNNNNNNNNNNNNNNNNNNNNNNNNNNNNNNNNNNNNNNNNNNNNNNNNNNNNNNNNNNNNNNNNNNNNNNNNNNNNNNNNNNNNNNNNNNNNNNNNNNNNNCUCCUCUAUUCCUUUCUUCUUCUCCUCUAUUCCUUUCUUCUUCUCCUCUUUUUUCUUCUUCUUUUUUUUCUUUGAUCUUCUACUCUGUCGUCGUCGAUAUACCCCCCCUCGGCCCUCUCGCUCGACCAAAACUCUCGAGGACACCCAAAUCCUAGAGAAAAAACGAUGUUGGUCUCAUACCCCCUCCCGCUGCGCCCCUACCCGACAAACUCUCUUGAGGCCACCCAAGUUUACCAAGUUAAAAGAGCGUUAUCGUCGAGGCCACCCGAAACCCUUGAAGCUUUGUGCCGAGGCCAUCCCAAACCCCUUGAAGCGUUGUCUAGGCCACCCCAAACCCUAGAGAAGCAGCGUCGAGGCCACUAACAUGAUUCCUUAUUGUGAUUAGCUAGCUAGUUCUACGUUUGCAACUAAUAUAUUUCCAUCUGUACCAUGUUUGAAUAAUAAUUGACAUGUUGUAAAUAUUUGCAGAAACUAUGGAGCACUCCCGAGACGAAGCAACAGAAGCGAUGUUGGGGGAGAUAAUUGCAGAAGGAAGUGAUGUCGUUGCAUCAUUUUUCAACGACACCGUUGGUCAGGAAGGACUGGAUGAAGAAGAGGGCUAUGUUCAUGAUGGCUCCGGCCCAUUAAUGCCGGCACAAGAAGAGGGCUAUGUUCAUGAUGGCUCCGGUGACCUAAUGGAGGUACAAGGAGGAGACCGUGCUGACUGCUCCGGUGACCGAACCGAGUCCGGCCAGGUAUAUAUAUAUUAGUUAAGCCCAUGCUGACUAGCUAAUUGAUGCAUUCAUUGUUUUGGUAUAUGUACAUAUAUUAAUUAACUCUCGUCUUUCUUCCUUUUUCUAGCCCUCCGGAUCGAGCACAACUUCGGUAAGGAGACGAGGCCCAAAGAAAAAGUUGAGCUCGGAUGAAAAGUUUGAGAUCACGGCAAUCGCGUGCGACGGCGAACCAAUUGAACGCAUUUGUUGCUCAGUGUGGGGUUCUUGUUAGGGACAAGAUCCCGAUCAGCAUCCACCAAUGGUAUAAGCCUAAGGAGGAAGACCCUUAGGUAUCUUAUGUCAAUGAUAUGCAGAAAAAUGAUCUUUGGACUGAGCUGAAGGCAAAUUUCACCCUACCGCCAGAGGAGGAUCCGGAGAAGCCAGUUAAAGAGAAAUUAAUCAAGUCUUGUGCUCUUAAGAAGAUGGCAGGCCUAUUCAGGAGGUGGAGGAAAGAGCUGGAAAAGUUUGUCGCCAAAGAAGAGACACCAGAAUUCAUCGGAAAAUAUGAGAAGAUCAGAGAUCACUGGCCCUCAUUUGUGGCCUAGACGACAUCGGAAAAGAGUAAGAAGAUGUUGGCGACAAACAAGCAAAAUGCUUCGAAGAAGAAGUUUCACGAUCGCACGGGGUCAGGUGGCUACCUGCAAGCCCGGCCUAAGUGGUCCAAGGCUGAGAAUGAUCUUCUUGAUAAAGGGAUCGAACCGGAGACAAUGAGAUGGCCAGACCAUUGCCGGACUUGGUUCUUCGGGACUGGCAAAACCUUGGACCCUGUAUCAGGGAAGUGCCAUUGGACGGACAAGCAACUGAAAACACCAGUCACAAGGCUUCUGUAGUAUAUCGAUGCAGCGCAGCAAGGGACGUUCGUUCCAGACAGGGAGAAGGACGAACUCACAAUUGCCCUCGGGAAUCCUGAGCACCCUGGACGGACACGAGGCAUGCCAGGCUCCAUUCCGUGGAAGGUUGGUUUUCCGAACAUGGGGGGUUACAAAACCCACGAGAGGAGGAAGAAAUUGGAGCAGAGCCAACUGCAGGUGCUGCACGAAAUGGUAAUGGGGCUAGAGGAACGAGAAGCAGAUCAUAACAAACGGCCUGCCGAAGCUUCCCCCGAAGCUACCCCGCCAUCUCAGCGGAGAAGCAGCGUGGCUUCCACCGAGCUGCUUCAGCCGGAGCAUGUCUUGACGGCUCCUGACAUCUAUCCCGUGGAUGCUAUCAUGGAGGCUCAAAAUUGCCACCUUAUGACGCGAUGGAUGAAUUUGAAGGUCAAGGCGGCUGUUGGCUCUGUUUAUCCUACUGAACACGACGCAACUUUUCACUGCCGGCCGAUUCCAGAAGGAUAUGCUAGGGUGAUGGUGGGUGAAAUAACGGAGGGAUUUGAGGACCUCCAGCUUGACUACCCAACCGGUGAAGGGGAGACUAGGUUGGGUUCUGCUUUGAACACUCCAUGCCUAUGGUGGAAGGAGCUCAUCAACCUUCCGAACUGGACGCCUCCGCCUCCUCCUCCUCCAUCGGCGAGUCAGGGCACUCCGCCUCCUCUACCGCCUCCUCCUCCGGUGAGUGAUGAUCAGGGCACUGGGCCUCCUUCUCCAGCGCGUGGUGGCACUCCGCCUCCUUCUCCCUCUGUGCCGGCGCGCCCGAGCAGCCAACAGCCUCCUCCUUCUCCGGCGCGUGGUGGCACACCGGCGCAGCCUCCUCCUUCUCCGGCGCGUGGUGGCACUCCGCCUCCUUCUCCGCCUGCGCCGGCGCGCCCGAGCAGCCAGCAGCCUCCUCCUUCUCCGCCUCGCCAGCAAGGGCGGAAGAGACCCGCCGCCGCCCCGGCUGCUCCGGCGCGUCGUAGUCCUUCUCCUCCGCCUCGUAAGCAAGCACGAAAGAAGACAGGCGUCGCAGCCGCUCCGUCUGCUCCAGCGUCUAGUAGUACAGCCAGCAGAGGCGGGAGGCAAUAUAGAUACGGUCCUUCUCUGAAGCCUCUAGAGAAGUUACCGUAUGAGAGGACCAAGGUGGAAAACACGAAGAUCGUGCAGGCCGAAGUGGACGACUUCUUUGCCGGGUUGAAAGCAAAGAGACAUCCACCUCCGGAGGAGAAGGUAGAUCUGGUGAAAUCAAAGCGCACUAUCGAUGCCCUGAGGAAACCACCAAAGUCUCCGCCGAGAACCAACUAUGAGCACAUUACUGAAUAGACAUAUCUCGAAGCGGAGUGGUCGGGAAGUACUGUCAGUGAUAAAAAGGUUAAAAGAACGAGCAGCUGGGAAAAAAAUUGCCCAGCUCGGCGAACAAGCAAAGCAACCGUGCCCCCUGCUCAAUGUGUCUAGCGGCGACAUCGUCGCUAAUGCUCCGGGGAUGGUGGCCGGUUAUGGUAAUCUUGGAGAUUACCUGCCUAAGAUCAACUUCCUGAUUUCUUGGAGGUGGGCGAACACAUAUACGAGUACGGGAAGCCUCUCGUCAAAGAUGAAAAAUCUCUAACAACUAUGAUGCAAAGAUUCCAUAAUUGGUACAUGAAAACCUGCAGAGAGUAUGGGGGGACGAAUGCUUUGUAUCUAAAUAUUAAAGAGGAGCACGACCUCAUUGAAACUGAUCUGUUGACUGUUCCAUUUGAUGAGUUCUUCGCGUUCUUCAAUCAAAUGGCCCUCGAUAAACUAACGGUCUUUUGCUACUGUUUGUAAGUACUAUUUCUGUCAUUAAGUCUCUAUAUAUAGCUCAGCUCUUUCAUUGCAUGUAUUUAUAAUUAAUUAUCCUCACUAUAUUAUGCAGAUUGAAGAUCAUCGAGUGCAAAAAACAAGAAAUGUAUGAUAUUGGGUUCAUUAACACAAAUAUCAUAGAUGAAUUUCUGGUUAAAAAGCACGCCGAAGAGGCCGAGGCCAACUUGCUACAAUCGUUGAUCAAAAAUCAAAACAAAGAUACCAUACUCUUUCCUUACAACGGCCCGUGAGUGUUACUGUCGUGUGCAUAUUCGGUUUCCCUUAUUACUCGAGCGAGGUUAUAGUAAUGUAAUUGAUGAGUUAUGCAUGCAUGCGCAGGUACCACUAUAUUCUUCUGGAGAUUAAGCUUGAGCGUGGACUAGUAACCGUCUUAGACUCGAGACGGAAAGAUCCCGAAACCUAUGCGGACAUCACUGAAAUGCUCAGCAAGUAAGUUCAAUCGAUCAUUAUCGCACCAUAUCGGCAACUUUUUGUUCAUUUCCUGAUAUCUCAAGUAAUAAUUAUUAUUUUCUUUGUCUUGCAGGGUUUGGAAUAAGUUCACCGCACAAGCUCCGGGACUGCCGAAGGAGCUGCGAUAUACAACUUCCAGUGAAUGUUACUGUCGUGUACAUAUUCGGUUUUCCUUAUUACUCGAGUAAGGUUAUAGUAAUGUAAUUGAUGAGUUAUGCAUGCAUGCGCAGAUUCCACUAUGUUCUUCUGAAGAUUAAGCUUGAGCGGGGAGUAGUAAACGUCUUAGACUCGAGACAAAAAGAUACCCAAACCUAUGCGGACAUGACUAAUUUGCUCAACAAGUAAGUUCAAUCGAUCAUUUAUCGCACCAUAUCGGCAACUUUUUGUUCAUUUCCUGAUAUCUCAAGCAAUAAUAAUUAUUUUCUUUGUCUUGCAGGGUUUGGAAACAGUUCACCGCAGAAGUUCCGGGACUGCCGAAGGAGCUGCGAUAUACAUACCCGAAAGUAAGUACUACUAGCUAGCUAGUUGCGCGCAUCUCCCGUUGAUUCUAUAGUUGUACUUUUAUCAAUGCCAUUUAUAAUGCUUCAUUAUCAGUUUGAUUGACCUUUAUUUCUCGUAAAGAGCUUGUGGCAGGAACAAGGGAAUGAUUUCUAUGGAUACUACGUGUGCGAGUUCAUCUACAACGCGACUUUGAAAAAUAAGCGGGGCUACUCUAAAAGACAAUAUGAAGUGCGUAAGCAAUAAUAUUCACAAUUUCAUUUUAUUACACCAUCAUUUUUGUUGAGUUUCAUUCAUAUAUGUAUUAACCCCUUCUUCAAAUUAGACGUGGCAGAUGCGGGAUGAACUCCUAGAACAAGAUUGCAUGAAAAUAAUUCAAGAGGAAUUGGCGGGAUUCUUUCUUGACCACAUCAUCAAUAAAGCCGGAGAAUACCAUGUGGAAGUUGAUUUCAAUUGCUAGGGGAUUGUAAGAGCUCUUACAUAUUGUAUACGUAUGUAUAGCCAGUAGCGUCGGAUAGACAAUACGAAAACUUGUUGUUCGACCAAUCUCUCGGAGAAGGAGAGGUCGAUCGAUCACUUCUCUCGGUAUGCAUGACGAAUUUCUGUACUUAAUGGUUCCCUUCAUUUUCUUACUAGCUAGCGUGUCGAGGGCCUCUCUAUGUACAGACGUAGCGUCGACCAAGCACAGACAUAAGAGAGGACACUUCUCUCUAUUAAUUAGCUAGCUAACACAAUAUAUGAAACACCUAAAUUAACCCCCCANNNNNNNNNNNNNNNNNNNNNNNNNNNNNNNNNNNNNNNNNNNNNNNNNNNNNNNNNNNNNNNNNNNNNNNNNNNNNNNNNNNNNNNNNNNNNNNNNNNNNNNNNNNNNNNNNNNNNNNNNNNNNNNNNNNNNNNNNNNNNNNNNNNNNNNNNNNNNNNNNNNNNNNNNNNNNNNNNNNNNNNNNNNNNNNNNNNNNNNNNNNNNNNNNNNNNNNNNNNNNNNNNNNNNNNNNNNNNNNNNNNNNNNNNNNNNNNNNNNNNNNNNNNNNNCCCCAGCCACUGAAUUGCUGACGCGUCGACGCCUUUUGAUCCCGGUUGGUGCCACCAACCGGGACCAAAGGCCCUCAUGCCUGGGCUCGGCGCACCGGCCAUGUGGAGGCACAUCUAUCCCGGUUCCUGUUAGAAUCGGGACUAAAGGGGGAGGCAUUAGUAACGAUCCUUUAGUCCCGAUUAAAGGCCCUUACGAAUCGGGACAAAUGCCCCUUUUCUACUAGUGACAACUAGUCGCUGACAUAGAGAUGACAGGCUUCGCUUGGACCGCAUGGCCCCGGCCUUGUCCAGCCCAUCCUAUGAAUGACCAUGCAGACACUAGAAUACGAGGCCAUACCACGGUAAGUAUUCAACUCCAUCGAACUCUCUUAUUGACAUCACGCCAUGCCCAUUCUUUAAAAAAAACUAGCUAAUUAAGUAAAUUCCUGUCGCCGCCGGCGGCAUGCAAGCAGUAUAGGCUCUGACUUUUGGCAGCAGUGGGAUGACAGUGCGCUGGGAGUAGUUAGGAUGGAGGACUCUCUAAGGGUGCCAGGCUGCCAGCCUGCACGCAGCAUCCUGGAUGGCCAAGAACAUGGGGCGGCGACUGGAUGAUUAUUUUGCAAGCGAUGGAUGGCCGGCAUUGGGGACCAUUAGAUUAACCAUUAGAUUAAGCCAAAAUCUGACGGUCUCAUGCUGACCAUUAAAUUAACUAAAUACUACCCAUUACGUUGAGUAGUAUGAUGUACCGUAAAAUUUCCCCAUUCAAAUCCCCCGGGCAUGGUGUCUGGAUGGAUUUGGGGGCGCAUCGGCUGCAAAUUCGAUGCCAGCGGCCGCGGGCCGUGCAUCACGGGCAAUUGUGGUGGCGUGUUGUCCUGUGCCGCCGGUGGGAAGCCACCCGCGACGCUCGCCGAGUACACGCUAGGUAAGGGCGGCAGCCCUGACUUCUAUGACAUCCCCCUCGUCGAUGGAUUCAACGUGCCCAUGAGCUUUGGGCCUAUCGGCAGCAGCUGUCACGCGAUAAUCUGUACCGCGGACAUCAACGCAAAGUGCCCGUCGGAGCUGAAGGUGGACGGAGGCUGUGUGAGUGCGUGCAUCAAGUUCGGCACCACCCAAUACUGCUGCAUGCCGCCGCUUACGCCGUCGACCUGUGGGCCGACGGACUACUCGCGCUUCUUCAAGGGGCACUGUCCGGACGCCUACAGCUACGCCUACGAGAAGAGCAGCACCUUCACAUGCCACGUCCGAUCAGACUACCAAGUCACCUUCUGCCCAUAGAGGCGAUUGGGAUUCAAUUUACUUCGAUGGUUAAGUCUGUAAUGUAAUAGC
rnacentral:lncRNA from 1 species